rnacentral:rRNA from 1 species
UACGUAGGAGGCAAGCGUUGUCCGGAAUUACUGGGCGUAAAGCGCGUGUAGGUGGUGGGACAAGUCUGCUGGGAAAGCGCCUGGCUUAACCGGGCGAGGUCGGCGGAAACUGUCCGACUCGAGGACGGUAGAGGGGGGUGGAAUUCCCGGUGUAGUGGUGAAAUGCGUAGAGAUCGGGAGGAACACCUGUGGCGAAGGCGGCCCCCUGGGCCGGCCCUGACACUGAGACGCGAAGGCGUGGGGAGCAAACAGG